rnacentral:lncRNA from 1 species
GGAAACUUCUCCCAGGACCGUCUCUGCUCUCAAAAGGCACUUGUUCCUAUUUCUAUCAGAGCAGUCAUCCCACAACAUGGGAUCCAGUUCCCUGUCUAGAUUGGGAGGUCCUCAAAAUCAAGGGCUUACUCAUCUUUGCAACCCGCAAGCACAGUGCUUGGCAUACUUGUUGAAUAAGCUUGCCAAAUUCGAAAGGCACGUUUCUGUUACUUAACUUCUCAGGAGCAUUUGACUCAAGAGUAUCAAAUAACCACUUCUUCCUGUUGAAACCAUGUCUUAUUUUUGAUUUUGUGACACCACGCUAUCUUGUUUUUUCUCCUACGUGUCUGUCUACUCCUUUUCAAUCUCCUUUGUAAAGUGCUCUCUGUUCUCUAGCUAAGCUCUAAUGUUGGAGUUUAGUGCUCAGUCCCUUCUCCUCAUUCUCCCUCCCUCCAUGACCUCAUCUAUUUCCAAAGCUUUAGUUCCCACCUAUAUACCAAUCAUUUCCAACAUCUCUCAACACCUCUCGAGCUCCAGACUUGUACAUCCAACUGCCUUCUGCUGUGUAUUUUCUGUUUGUCCUUCUGGAUCGACUCUCAACUCCUGUCGACCCUCCUCUCUGCCCUGAUACUUUGACCUUUGUGGGCUACAUCAGAAGACUCUCUGACUUCCAGCUGGGUUUGGCCAAUAGAAGCUUCCAGCAGAAGACUGAAAAGCACGAGGAGAGUGAGUCUUCGCUCCUUCUCCCAUGCCCACCACUGGCUACUGGUUCAGCAAGGAGUGACAGAGCCACUGUUUAAUGGGGUUCUCAAAGGAUAAAGAAACACUCAAAGCAAGGGAUCAAGCAGACCCAGCAAGACAGAAAGCAAGCCCCAUUUCAAGAAACCAAAGAUCUGGAGGUUCCUUCUGAAAAACAUCAAGUGGCUAAAAGAGAAAUGACCUGAGAAAGAGAGAAAAUGUAUCUUUGCUGGGAUUACAAUAAUUCAUACUUUCGGGAAAAGCAUGAAACCCAUGAGACAGAAUCGUGCCUCUUCAGUGAAGCAUGUAGGAAGGAGCAUGAACUCAAAGGAAACAGAUCACAGGGGGAGAAGUGAAAGGCUGAACUCGAGGCGAGGAAGACCAUUCCCAGCACUGAGCAGAGCAGCUCAUCAGAGGAAAACACCGGAAACUUGCCUGGGCGAUGCAGCCCCCACUGCAGAGGACACAUUCCUUCCACAUGAACAACAGCAACAUCGUGCUAGGGUAAAGGGGAGGAGAAAACAAGGCCAGAAUUCAUUCCAGAGAAACUUUCUCCAGUGAGUGGCAUAUUUCCUCCACGGCAAGGUGAUUUUCUCAUUGAAGAAACCAAGGCAUAGACAAAGCCAAUGAUUUUUCCAAGACCACAUAGCUGGAAGUGGGAUUUACAAUCGCCAGGUUCACGUGACUUCAAAGUGCCCUCUCAGGUGUGCUGACCUGUCCGAGAUGGCCCCCAAUCAACCCUGCCUCCUGGAUUCAUGCUCUUGUGUAGUUUUCUUCCAUAUCUUACCAAGGUGGUUCUGUUCAACCUACGGACAGGUCCACAUGGUGAGGAACUGGGGCCACCAGCCAACAACCAUGUCGUUGAGUCAUCUUAGAAGUAGUUCCUCCAUCCUCAUCAAGCCAUCCAAGUGACACAGUGCCAGCUGAUAUCUUGACUACAGCCCCAUGAGAGACACUGAGUCAUACCCAUCCACCCACUUCUGAAUUCCUGACCCACAGAAACUGAGAUGAUAAAUUGCUUUCAACCAAUAAGUUUUGGAGUAAUUUGUUACAUAGCAAUGAAUAACAUAGACAUUUCAGAUAAUGUCUUUAGUUCACAGGACUUCAGACAGAGAGGAACUCUACUUGGAGAUCUGCGCUUAAAGACUACACCUAAGGAGAUUCGCCUGCACUGGGACCUGAUUUAAAGGAUGACGUCCUGGACUCCAGAGCUGAUGCUGUAUAGGCUUGAGACUUUUGGGAGGUAUUGAGAAGGAUGACAGUAUUUUGCAAGUGGGAGGAAUAUGAUGGUUAAAGUAUGUCCACAAAGUAUUUAACAUUAUUUUCAAAAAGUAGAGUGUAAUUCCCCUCCCCUUGAGAGUGGGCUGGACUUAGUGACUCACUUCUAAUGGAUAGAAUUGAGCAGAAGUGACAGUGUGUGACUUCAGAGGCCAGGUCAUAAAAGUCACUGUGUCUUUCUGCUUGCUCUUCCUUGUGGAUGCUGAACUCUGGGGGGACGUUGUGAGCAGUCUUAUGGAGAGGCCCACAUGAAACCCAGGCCUUCUGCCAACAACCAUUUGAGUGAAUCCUUUGGCAAGUGGAUCCUCCAGCCCCAGUCAAGCCUUCAGAUGACUCCAGGCCCAGUCAGCAUCUUAACUGCAACCUCAUGAGAGAACCAGAAACCCAGUUCAGAACUACCCACCCAAGUCACUGCCAGAUUCCUAAUCCUCAGAAACUGACUGAGAAAAUAAAUGUUCGUUGUCUUAAGUUACUAAAUUUCAGGGUAAUCUGUUUGGUAGAGACAGAUAAUUAACACAUCGGUGGUGAAAAAUUACCUGAUAAUAUUUUUAUGUUUGGAUUAGAAAGAAAGUUUUAGAUAAAUCCAAGAAAAUUCUUUUCAUACUACAGUCAUGGAAACUUCGAGUCAUUUGCCAUGAUUCUUGCUCCUGUCCUUUCAGUAUGAGCCCAAAAGUUCCUGUUGUCUUUAUUAUUUAAUUUUCCCCCUACAUUUUCUCUGUUUGGUAGCUGUCAAGGAGCUACACACAUACAGAGAGAGAGAGAGCACAGAAACAUUGGAGAGAUAGAAACAAUAUUACACAAAGGUAGCCACACUGGUAUGUAUAUACCAUAUUAACAUUAUAUAUUUAUUGAUAUAUAUCUGUAUAUACCUAUAUUUUUAUAUAUACAUAUGUAUCUAUAUAUCUGUGUGCAUGUAUAUAUACACAAAUAUAUAUACAAUUGAGUGAUCAAGUACAAAAAAUAAAUCUCUAAGAAUGUAC